CUCUGUGUAUCCUUGGGUCCUGUCAGCUAUGGCAUUCUCCCUUCCUAACCAUGGAAGAACAUACUCUUGUUUAUUGGCAAAGCUGUCACCAUUUAAUUGGUAUCAGAUUUUGACUUGCACAAGUAACAUUC
rnacentral:snoRNA from 1 species